rnacentral:rRNA from 1 species
GGCUUACACAUGCAAGUCGAGGGGCAGCACAGUGCAGCAAUGUAUGGGUGGCGACCGGCGCACGGGUGAGUAACGCGUAUGCAACCUACCUAUAAGAGGGGGAUAGCCCGGCGAAAGUCGGAUUAAUACCCCGUAAGACAGGGGUUCCGCAUGGGACUAUUAGUUAAAGGAUUUAUUGCUUAUAGAUGGGCAUGCGUACCAUUAGGUAGUUGGUAGGGUAACGGCUUACCAAGCCUUCGAUGGUUAGGGGUUCUGAGAGGAAGGUCCCCCACACUGGAACUGAGACACGGUCCAGACUCCUACGGGAGGCAGCAGUGAGGAAUAUUGGUCAAUGGCCGCAGGGCUGAACCAGCCAAGUCGCGUGAAGGAGGACGGCCCUAAGGGUUGUAAACUUCUUUUGUAUGGGAAUAAAGUGCGGGAUGUGUCCUGUUUUGUAUGUACCAUACGAAUAAGCAUCGGCUAACUCCGUGCCAGCAGCCGCGGUAAUACGGAGGAUGCGAGCGUUAUCCGGAUUUAUUGGGUUUAAAGGGUGCGUAGGUGGGCUGUUAAGUCAGCGGUGAAAUUUUGGUCGCUUAACGAUAAAAAUGCCGUUGAAACUGGUGGUCUUGAGUAUGGAGGAAGCAGGCGGAAUGCGUGGUGUAGCGGUGAAAUGCUUAGAGAUCACGCAGAACUCCGAUUGCGAAGGCAGCUUGCUAUACCAAAACUGACGCUGAGGCACGAAAGCGUGGGUAUCAAACAGGAUUAGAUACCCUGGUAGUCCACGCAGUAAACGAUGAUUACUAGGAGUUUGCGAUAAAGCGUAAGCUCUACAGCGAAAGCGUUAAGUAAUCCACCUGGGGAGUACACCGGCACGGUGAAACUCAAAGGAAUUGACGGGGGCCCGCACAAGCGGAGACAUGUGGUUUAUCGAUGAUACGCGAGACUUACCCGGGAUGAAUGUGCACGAUGGGAUGAAAUUUCAGCAGCG